UACGGAGGGUGCAAGCGUUGUUCGGAAUCACUGGGCGUAAAGCGCGUGUAGGCGGCCAUCUAAGUCUGGUGUGAAAGCCCUGGGCUCAACCCAGGAAGUGCACUGGAUACUGGAUGGCUGGAGUACCGGAGAGGAGGGUGGAAUUCCUGGUGUAGCGGUGAAAUGCGUAGAUAUUAGGAGGAACACCGGUGGCGAAGGCGGCUCUCUGGACGGUGACUGACGCUGAGACGCGAAAGCGUGGGGAGCAAACAGG
rnacentral:rRNA from 1 species